AAGUAACAUUCGUGAAUUUUUUUGCGGAUUUGAGUUUUCCAGUAUUUAUAAAAAUGUUGGUAACUUUAAAAUUAUUAUCACUUGGUACAAGUUGAAGACGUUCUAUAUGUGUGUGGUUCGCUGACAACUUGUCCAUCUCAUAUAUUAUGCGCGCACUUGGUUUUUUAAUGCCAUGUGUGAGUAUAUAUUUUUU
rnacentral:misc_RNA from 1 species